ensembl:lncRNA
CUGGAAGUUCUGUUUUUUUAUUUUUGUUUGUGUUUUGUCACAGUAUAGGUUUUGCUUCUUGCAGGGUCACGUGUGGACGUGCUGUAGUAUGGAUCCAUGAAAUCACUGUCGGGGGCGGAUGGGGAGCGUAGAAGCGCGGAGGUGGAGCUAUUUAAGGAGAAGCAGGUUUUCACACGAGCAAACCAGAUGUGCUCUCCAAAUUUGAUCAAGAAGAACCAACAUGGACAGUGGAAGAUGACAUCCCCUGUCAAAUCCUUUCAGGUGAGUGAGAGCAGCAGGAGGGAACCAGGCUGUGGAAAUCAUAUUCUAGUUGGUAGAGGAGUCACAGCUUUGAGAGGGUUGGAGGCUAGGUAGGCAGUGCCUCCAUGCAUCUCUCUCCUGAUCCGCAACCUCUUUUUCUUUGUAGGAGUUUAGAGUAAAAUAUAUCCCAUUUGUCUCAAACAGGAUUUGAUCCCUGUUUAUUUUAUUUACAUCUUGAAUUUUGUAUGCAUGGUUUCCUUUUUCUUAAUGAUUCUCAGAUCUUUCCUUUCUUACUCUUCCUCCUUCCUUGCCUUAAAAGUCUACUGUCCAAAGGCCUCUAUCCAAAGAGAAAACUCAAUUCUUCACUGUCUUCUAACUGCUGCACCUUUCUGUCCCAAUGGUGUUGAUUUUCCUUCCUAACCCUCACCCCAUCCUGGAUGCUGUGCCCCCAAAGUAAACUGGUCUUCACUGGGCCCUUGUCCUCACUCUGAGGUUUCCAAAGGUUCUGUUUUCCAUUUUCUUCUCUGGUCUCCUAACCCUUCACACUUUUCUUUAUUCUAAUAAGCCAAGGUGCUUCUGUUCCCUGCAGGGUACCCUCAAAUUGACAUCUGCCCAAGGUGAUCUAUCAGACUUUAGUUCUGUACAACUCACUCAUUCUAUGGCAACUCUCCUGAGUUCCCAGUAAGUGCAAGGAACUUGCAUCAUCUUCCCUCCCAGAAAACCCCUGUAAGUUUUGGUUCUUUAUACUCCUGUGCGUCUUACAUCCUGGCCAUCCAGGCAUUUCCUCAAAUGCUCCCUACCUGUAGAGCUCUCUUCUUUAAAGGAAUCUGCUGUUGAUGAUGAAUUUUAAACAGAAAAGUACUUCAACAUCCUACAUUACCAGUUACAGCCUAAACAAGAUUAUAACACUCAUGUGUACUAUGACUUAAUUCCUUUGUGUAUUUACGCAUUCUGACCUUCCUUCUAGUUUAUUGUAGAUGUUACCAUCAUAUUGACUUCCUGAAAGCUUCCUUUUUCCCCCAUUGUAUUCUGGUGACAUUAAGUCCUAGUUAACCACAUUACUUGUCACAGACAUGAAAUUCUUCUCUCAGUGUCUUUGUGAUAAUAGUAUUUCUUGCUCACACAGAGAUUUCCAUUUUCUUCCCUAAACUCCCCAUUGUGUUGCAGACAUGUGAUUGCUUACUUGCUUCAUUUUAAAAAUAAUUUAUUUCUUGAUAACCUAGUGUAACAGCAGUGAGAAAAAGGCAUAAAAACAGAGCAAGAGCUUUCAUUCUAAGAUCAGGAAACAGAAAACAGACCAAAUAAGAAGAUACAUUAUGUGUCUCUUAGAGGGUGACAAGUGCGGUGAUGAAAUAUUUGGAAUAUAAGUGUGGUAGUAAUGGAAGAGCAGGUGCUGGGACUGGGACUUCUCUUUUAGGAAAGGGAACAGCUCUGUGAGGUGUAGAUCACAGGUCACAUGUGCUUGGAGCUUUGUGCUGUAUCAUAUUGAUGCUCCCCAAGGCUGACCUUGACAGUAAAUCCUCCAGGGAGGCCUGUUUCUCUCCACAGUGUCACCUGAUUUCCUGCAUCUCCCUCCAUCUCCAUUGCUCCUUCACACCAGUUUUCACGACGUGCAGCUGUUUUACUUGUGUCCUUUUACCAAAGUGCAGUGUAGGUUCCCUGAACAUGAGGGCUCUGUGUGUGUCCCCAGCAUGAGCAGCAUGUCCUGUGCACAGGAGUCCUCAGUAAGGAUUUGUGACGUGAAUGAGUCUGUCUCUCGCCAGUUUGGAUGAGGUGGCCCUCCACCCUGUGGUCUGCUGCUCAUGGGAAAUUGCGUGUAUUUCACAGUCUCUGCAUGUUCUGCAAUAUGUGGGAAGUAGCCAAAACGGUGUUUAUUCAUUGUCACUGUUUUUUCCAAUAUAUAAGGAACAUUCAACAUGGAGUUUUAUUUACACUCAUAUAAUAGGGUCAUCACUAAGUCACCUCAAAUGAAGCUAUUUUAAACAGUACUUUUAUUCUAGUCAAUGUGAUGGAAGAAUUCAUUAUCAUCUUUUCUAGGAGUCUGGAAACUUCCAGAGCAUUUACCAAAUGAAAUCAUGGAGAAUAG